rnacentral:rRNA from 1 species
GGGUUGUAAACUUCUUUUAAGAGGGAAGAGCAGAAGACUGUACCUCUAGAAUAAGCCACGGCUAACUACGUGCCAGCAGCCGCGGUAAUACGUAGGUGGCAAGCGUUGUCCGGAUUUACUGGGUGUAAAGGGCGUGCAGCCGGGAAUGCAAGUCAGAUGUGAAAUCCAUGGGCUUAACCCAUGAACUGCAUUUGAAACUGUAUUUCUUGAGUACUGGAGAGGCAAUCGGAAUUCCUAGUGUAGCGGUGAAAUGCGUAGAUAUUAGGAGGAACACCAGUGGCGAAGGCGGAUUGCUGGACAGCAACUGACGGUGAGGCGCGAAAGUGUGGGGAGCAAACAGGAUUAGAUACCCUGGUAGUCCACACUGUAAA